CGCACUGCAGAUCCAGUUUGUGUUUGGUUGGUUUCGAGAUCGUUUGGUACGAUUCUGUUGGAGAUUCGCUUUUAGUUCCUGGAAUACGCUGGCGCUUCGUUGAGCGCAUUCAGACCGAUUUCACAGGACUUGAAUACCGAUUGAUUGUGGACUCGCUCUGGUCGGAGUGGGGGGUUGAUUUAACCCCCAAAACCCCCCCUUGGUUGCGCCACUGUAUAGAAGAAAUCUCGCAGGUAUCUUUGAAGGAAUUUUUAGAAAACAAAUCUUGGAGAUUUCUCUAAAAAUCUCUUUAUAAAUCUAUGGAUGAAAAACGAAAAUGUUCUGGAAAAAUCUUGGAUAAAUGAACUUGUUACACGACUUUACUAUGAUGCAAUAAAUGUUAACUGUUGAUUUUUUUA